GUCAUGAGCCCGUACCCCGGGGUUGUCGAAAAUAUGUUGAGAGACCUGAACAAAGAAAAGGUCACUCUGCUGAAGGUCGAGCGUGCUGGUGACGUUCUGGCGGAUGCUAUCGCCAAAGUGGCUCAGUCGAUUUUGCUUUUCUGCAAGGGCCAAGGUCUGCUGACUUCGGUUGUCUUGCCCGGAGUGGACCGCAACAGGGCGUUCUCAACCAGCUCGGGUGGUUCAAGUGAUGGAACCCCAGGCGGACGACGCCUAUCCCGUGGAAUGUCCAUGGAAGACUACGAUAAGCCCAAUAUCAGACGACUCAGCAUUACCAUUAAUGAACAACUACCACCGAUCAAGAAGUAAACCGGUGGAGCAUUGAUCAAAAUCGUAGUGACUAUUUCUACCUUGAUUAACAAGUAUAUUUUAUCGAGAAAAGAGAACGAGCAGUUCGAGGGAAUAAAGUA